GACGACGCUGGCGGCGUGCCUAACACAUGCAAGUCGAGCGGAGUCGAUCGACGGAAGCCUUCGGGCGGAAGAUGGUUGACUUAGCGGCGGAUGGGUGAGUAACGCGUGGGCAACCUGCCUCGAAGACCGGGAUAACAGCCCGAAAGGGCUGCUAAUACCGGAUGUGGUCAAGGAUCCGCAUGGAUUUUGAUUAAAGGGGAAACCCGUUUCGAGAUGGGCCCGCGUCCUAUCAGCUAGUUGGUGAGGUAAAAGCUCACCAAGGCGACGACGGGUAGCCGGCCUGAGAGGGUGACCGGCCACACUGGAACUGAGACACGGUCCAGACUCCUACGGGGGGCAGCAGUGGGGAAUCUUCCACAAUGGGCGAAAGCCCGAUGGAGCGACGCCGCGUGAGCGAAGAAGGCCUUCGGGUUGUAAAGCUCUGUCUGGAGGGACGAAGGAAGUGACGGUACCUCCGGAGGAAGCCACGGCUAACUACGUG
rnacentral:rRNA from 1 species